UUAUUAUUUCUUGUAUUUUGUGUUCACUCACACGGCACAAUUGCCUUUCUGCAUAAACAGAAGGUGCAAUUUUUAUGUCUGUUCUGAACUGUUCUGCAGUUUUCGGCUCAUGUUGAGUUUCAUAUCACAGCAGUCUGAGUUAACCACAAAGUAAAAUACUACUGUGAUAUUAAAAGAAGUUGAUUCUUGUUUGUAACUGAUCUUUUGACAGCAAUCACGAGGGGACUUGGACUGGGCAGCUACUCAAACUACAAGACAGCUGAAGAGAAUUUCUGACAUGCCAAACUUCUCCCGGACAGACCGGCUGCUGAGACACCGCCGGCUGUGCACCGUUGGGAUAAGCAAAGAAGAAAAUCAGUAUUCACAGGAUGCAUCUGCCCAUCCAGCUUCCUGGAGCCCCCUUCAGCCUUCCAACAACCGUCUGACUGUAUGACCCUCAGCUUCCCACUGACACCCUAUAGACGACAACAUUCUGAGGCUCAGUAGCACUGAACACAUGAGCUUAACAGUGCUGUAACUUGAAAACAGUCUAGCUUAAACACAACCAAACUUUAGCUCAUUCCUAGAGCUUGAUAUAAGAUUUUUAUACUUUUUUAAAAUCUGAAAUUACAUUCGUGAUACAGGCAAAAGGACAAAUUCAUGAUAAUUGAUAGGAGGUCAUGGUAUUAUGCCAAUAACUGAAUGAAAAACACACAUCUCUUUGUCUGAAAGGUAAAGGCAGGUUUUGACUUUUUUUUUUUUGGUAUCCCUACCAAGGGAUUGCAAGUACUUACUGCAUGAAGUGCAUUGUGAUCUCUCAGAUAUCCUGCUGACCUGGAAUCAAUCCCAGCACUGCCUGCUACUACAAAUGGACAGAGCCAUGUCACUUUUUAGCACUCAAAUCCUUCUCAUUAUGUGUACCAGUUACUGUUAGUAAGUGAAAGGUCACAGCAAACUUGUGGUCCAUGCUGCCUUUGAGGAAGUACUUAUCCACCAUUACAUAAUACUGCAAGUGUUGUUUGCAUAACAUGCCUGAAAUUGUCCAUUUUAUGGACGUACAAUUUUUACAACUCAGUCUUAAAUGAUCCUAAAAAAAAAA